UGUUUAUUUCUGGAGCGGGGCGUGCUUUCACUGCAUUCCCUUUCCGGUGACAUGCAUCCUUAUCAGGGGAACCACCAAGAAACAGUUAUUGUGGUCAAGUGACAAGGCUUCACCAUCCCUCCCCCAGACUGCUGUUUCCUGCAGAUCGGUUGCUAGCAAAGUUUACUUCAGCUUCUGCAGCUCCUUUAAAGGCGCACAGCCUUCAUCUUGAGUACAGGACAGGACAGUGGUGAUCUCCUGUGUGGAAGACGCUGCCAAGUGCAAAGCCGCUCUUGGGGCCUCUAUCCCUGUGGUGAAUGCAGAGUUCCUUCUCAAAGGGAUCCUGCAGCAGAGUGCUGAGCUGCAGAGACACAGCCUGCAGGGACCCGGCUUCGACAGGCAGGGGGCGCCAGCACACCGGACCAGCACAGCUGGGGCGAGGAGACGCAGAUAGAGACGCGUUCCUGCUGCUGCUUGAAUCACUGCACUGCUUGACUUUCUUUGAUCAAAGACUUUGCAAAAAACAUCAUAUGAGUAAAGGAUGCAUUUCACUGGAUUUUAAACAACUUAAAAUCUAUUUUCCAUGAACCUUUUAUAAGCCCCAGCAAUGUUAUUACUGGUUCCUGGUUAAAGAAAGGCUUUAAAAUAAAUGUCUGCAACAUUUCAAGAUAAUUAAUGCAUUACAAGGAAAAACAAUGAGAGUUCUGAAAGUUUUACUACACCUGUAAUGACAUUGUUAUUCAUCUCUGUUGUUGUUUGAGACCAAAGGAUCAAAGAUAUUUUCAUAAAAUCAAACCCAUUGCAAUAGCAUUUUUAUUAAAGCAUGAAUCCGAGCCGAUCCCAGCACAAGGAGAAACUGAUCAACACGCCCUGCU